AUAGUUUGGCGGCCGAGGAAUUUGUUUUGCGUGGUUUUUCUUUUGUCUCUUUUUUUUCCAAAUCAUAAUUAACUUGAACUUCCCGUGAAAGCACGCCGCCGCAGAAGGCAGGAUGAUUGGGCUGGCCUUGGUAACAAUAAGGGGGCUGUCUUCCAACAGAGCCUGAAGUCACAAUAUGCACAGAUGUGUCCUGCCUGGAGCUGCAGAUAUCCAUCUUCAUGAAGAACCAUAGACAGUAGGUGGACGAGCUCCUGGAGCCCAAGGAAAAAUCGUCUUUCUCCACUUGAUUCAGUUUACACCAAUUCGUCACUCUCCCAUUUGGUUUGCAUGGGCCUCUGGCUACCUUCCAGCUUCUGAUGGACAAGCUGCUAAGGCCGCAUGCUGCAUAUGCUGCUGCCUAUCUGGGUGACAUUAUCAUCGGCCAUUUCAGCAUGUCCCCAACCUUAGUCCAAAAAGCAGGUGAGGUCAUUCCUGGGGCUAGCAAACUACUAUUGGCGGUUUAUUCUGGAUUUUUUGCUUUGGUAAGAGUGAAAACAUUUCAGGAAACUUCUGUCAGGAUAAUUCCCUGCGGACUCCCUGGUUAGCAGACCGGUUUAACGCCAUCCAUUUUCUGCCCAUGCCCUGAUGCAAGCUCGAGGCUUCGAUUCAUCAUCAAAACCUACUUGAUCUGCAUAUUAAUAUACGUACAUAUCCUUGCUUGAACUUUCUAUUUUAUCAUCUGCUUUUUACUUCAGCCUAUAAUCAACCCAGCCACACUAUUUAUUUGCUCCUUUAUUGUAGAUAUCCGAUCCACCUACCCAUUUAGCUUAACUUUAACUAUUGACACCU